AGAAGAAGAAGAAGAAGAUGUAGUUACUACUAAACGAAGAAGAAGCAAGAUGGCGGCGCUCGGUACGGCACGGUGCUUACUUCGAGGCUGUUCUUGGCUGCAAAAUGUUCAGAGAAAUAAAAACUUGCUUGACAAAUGUAGCACCAGGACGUUUUGCAGCGAUACACAAGACACUGUGCAAAACCAUGCAAAGCCCAAGUUCACAGAUCCACUUGUGCAGCGCAUCCUCACCAGGAUAAGUGGCCUGGACCUGCAGAAGGUGUUUCAACCGCUUCAACAGGAACUGAAGCCGCCAACGUAUAAACUCAUGACUGAUGAACAGUUGGAGCAGGUGGUGAAAUUGGCCACAGAGAAAGCGAAGAAGCUGCUGCAAAUGCCACCUGUUUUACCCGAGAGGAAGCCCAUUAGUGACGUACUGUCUGUGGACAAGAUUCUGGAUGGCACGGAUACAGCAAAAUACGUCUUCACAGACAUAACUUACAACAUUCCACACAGGGAAAGGUUCAUUGUUGUCAGGGAGACCAAUGGCACUCUAAGAAAAGCCACCUGGGAGGAAAGAGACCGGCUCAUUCAAGUGUACUUCCCAAAGGAGGGACGGAAACUCACUACACCUCUUCUCUUCAGUGAGGAGAACCUAAAGAUGGCAUUCUCUCAGGACCGACACAAAGAUGUGUUGGAUCUCUGUCUGGUCCAAUUUGAACCUGACUCAUCACAGUACAUCAAGGUGCAUGCUGCCACGUAUGAGAAUCUGGAGAAACAUGGGAAAUAUGAACUUCUUCGUUCUACCCGGCACUUUGGAGGCAUGGCCUGGUACCUGGUUAACGCUCGCAGGAUUGAUGGCCUCAUUGUAGACAUGCUGAAGAAGGAAUUUGUGCAGGAUGCAGUAAGCCUCGUGUCCCUCUUCCACCUGGUGCACCCUCACAGUGAGUCAGCCCAGGAAGCUUCCAGCCUGAAGGCUACAGACAUUGACCUUCUCAAGAGAUGCCAUAUGGUGGACCAGAAUUUCCUGAAAACGGUCUGAAAGUCAUUCUCCAUGGUCUCACCAAACUCCUCCCACACCCAAGUUUUUGCCUCUGUGACUGCCAAAGAUGCAUUCUGCUUGGCCAGCCGGUGCCCAUCAGCUGCCUCUGGAGUUCCACUGGCCAAAAACACUCGAUAGGACUUCUUCUUCAGCAUGAUGGUGUCCACCAACAGGUUCAGGGAUUGCCGCCACGACAGGGCAUGAUGGUGUCCACCAACAGGUUCAGGGAUUGCCGCCACGACAGGGCAUGAUGGUGUCCACCAACAGGUUGAGGGAUUGCCGCCACGACAGGCACGGGCCACCUUACGCCACAGCUGCGGUCGGCCCUCUCAGCAAUGGAGACGCGGACUCAAUGUCCCCCGCCUCCCUCGGGACGUGCUUGAAGUUCUGCCAGAGGUGGGAGUUGAAACUCCUGUUGACAGGGGAGUCUGCCAGAUGUUCCCAGCAGACCCUCACAAUACGUUUGGGUCUUCCAGGUCAGACCAGCAUCCCACCAUCGGAGCCAGCACUCCCCCAGGUGGUGAUCAGUUGACAGGUCCGCCCCCGUCUUGAGAAUCAUCUUUAUUUUGCCAUUUUUAAGAAGCUGUUGGAAUGUCUGCUAGUUUUAGUUUGCAUGGUUCGGUAGUGCCUACAUGAGGGAAGACGCUGGAAGAGCUGGUGACCAGGAUGUGGAGGGCCCAAGAGGAUUUUGCAUGCUCUUGUCUUAGUUCUAGCAGCGUGCAAGUCCUCAAGGGUGGGUAGGGGCAUACGACAAGCUUUUCAGCAGUUUUGAUUGUCCGUUGCAGUCGGAGGUUGUUCUUUUUUGUAGCAGCACCAAACCAGACUGUGAUGGAAGAACACAGGACUGAUUCGAUGACCAGUGUGUAGAACUUCCUCAACAGCUCCUGCGGCAGGCUGUGCUUCCUCAGAAGCCGCAGGAAGUACCUCCUCUACUGUGCCUUUUUGAGGAUGGAAUUGAUGUUGAACUCCCACUUCAGGUCCUGAGAGACUGUAAUUCCCAGGAACUUGAAGGUCUCAACGGUUGACACAAGGCAGUUGGGACAGCGUGAGGGGCAGGAUGCCUCCUAUAGUCCACAAUCAUCUCUACAGUCUUGAGCGUGUUCAGCUCCAGGUUGUGUCGGGCGCACCACAGCUCCAGCCGCUCCGCUUCCUGUCGAUAUGCAGACUCGUCACUGUCCUUGACGAGGCUGAUGACAGUGGUGUCAUCUGCAAACUUCAGGAGUUUGACAGUCGGGUGCGCUAAGGUGCAGUCAUUCGUGUAGCGAGAGAAGAGCAGCGGAGAGGACACAACCUUGAGGCGACGCGGUGCUGAUGGUGCGUGUAGAUGAGGUGGCCUCCCCAGCCUCACCUGCUGUGUCCUGCCCGUCAGGAAGCUGUAAAUCCACUGGCAGAUUGCGCCUAACCAUGUGGACGCCUCUGUUACGUGCUCUCUAGUAUUGUCUGUUUUUGUGUUUUUUGUUCGUCUUUGGAGACAUUACGCGACUCACUUACACAAGGGAAGACUUGCUAAACAUCAGGGAAUCUACCCCGAACUUUCUUUCACCAACUUUCACAAAUACGCUAAUUUUUUUUCCCCGUGUUACUCACCGGGGUAGGCCGAAUGUCCAAGACAUGCGGCCGCAAGUCCGAUGACAUGACCACAAAGUCGAUCAUCGAACUUUGGCCUAAGGUGUUCUGGUGCCAAGUGCACGUAUGGACACCCUUAUGUUUGUAUGUAGUGUUUGUUAUGGACAGUCCGUGAAGUCCAAUAGCAAAACACUGCUCGGGUUCUAGGUGGUGGGGGUGUUUGGGUUCGUUCCUAUCACGCCCUUCCAAGUCUCACUGUCAUUGCCCAUGUGAACGUUGAAAAUCCCCCAGAAGAACGAGGAGUCCCUAGUAAGGGCACUCUACAGCACCCCCUCCAAGGACUCCAGGAAGGGUGGGUACUCUGAGCUGCUGUUUGGCGCAUAGGCACAAACAACAUUCCGCGUCCGGGCAAGGGAAAAGUCUUCCAUUGUUUGUACUCAUCGGGGGGGCAGAAUUUUUAAGACAUCCUUUGUCUGGUCCCUUGCUCCCAGGAUCAUUGGGAUGCACAAAUCCCUCAACGAUGAUGAGGUGGCAGCUCAAGGAAGGUUGAGCUGAUUAUGCUUUCCACAUAAUCACUUGGGAGGUGGUACUUCUUCAGAUGAAUAAACAGUGUUGUCAGUUUUUGAGGGCGCCAACAAACCUUGCACAUCGGCUAGUUAAUAGUAUUGUUAUACGUCGCUUUGGAGACGGCGCUACACAGCCGGCGUUGGAAACCCAUGGAACAGCCGGCCGCCACGGAGGCGGGACCAAGAGUGGCCGCGGACGACACGGCGUGCUCCGUGUGACAACGGCGGACCGGGAGUUUCAGUCUUGCUGUGGGGCGGGCACGGCUAGGAGGCGUGGUUUGUUUACUCUCACAAAUGGCAUUGGAACAGGAAAAGUACAACUCUGAUUGGCUGUUGUCGCGCACAUUCCCACCAUGUUAGAUCGAGGAAAGACGCACACAGCUGAUCACCGAGAAUUUUAUAACGAUCUUUGAUCUCAGUCAUAUACAGUGGGUACGGAAAGUAUUCAGACCCCCUUAAAAAUGUCACUCUUUAUAUUGCAGCCAUUUGCUAAAAUCAUUUAAGUUAAUUUUUUUCCCUCAAUGAAGGGUGUUUUAAUGUACAGCACCCCAUAUUGACAGAAAAAAACAAUUAAAAUUUUUGCAGAUUUAUUAAAGAAAAACUGAAAUAUCACACAGCCAUAAGUAUUCAGACCCUUUGCUGUGACACAUCUAUUUAACUCUGGUGCUGUCCAUUUCUUCUGAUCAUCCUUCAGAUGGUUCUAGACCGUCAUUGGAGUCCAGCUGUGUUUGAUUAUACUGAUUGGACUUGAUUAGGAAAGCCACACACCUGUCUAUAUAAGACCUUACAGCUCACAGUGCAUGUCAGAGCAAAUGAGAAUCAUGAGGUCAAAGGAACUGCCUGAAGAGCUCAGAGACAUUGUGACAAGGCACAGAUCUGGCCAAGGUUACUAGAAAAUGUCUGCUGCACUUAAGGUUCCUUAAAUGGAAGACGUUUGGGAUGUGCAGAACAAUUCCUAGAGCUGGCCAUCCGGCCAAACUGAGCAAUCGGGGGAGAAGAGCCUUGAUGAGAGAGGUAAAGAAGAACCCAAAGAUCACUGAGGCUGAGCUCCAGAGAGGCAGUCGGGAGAUGGGAGAAAGUUCUAGAAAGUCAACCAUCACUGCAGCCCUCCACCAGUCGGGGCCUUAUGGCAGAGUGGCCCAACGGAAGCCUCUCCUCAGUGCAAGACGCAUGAAAGCCCGCAUGUAGUUUGCAAAAAACAAAAAAAGAACACCUGAAGGACUCCAAGAUGGUGAGGAAUAACAUUCUCUGGUCUGAUGAGACCAAGAUUGAACUUUUUGGCCUUAAUUCUUAGCGGGCUGUGUGGAGAAAACCAGGCACUGCUCAUCGCCUGUCCAAUACAGUCCCAACAUUGAAGCAUGGUGGUGGCAGCAUCAUGCGGUGGGGGUGUUUUUCAGCUGCAGGGACAGGAUGACUGGUUGCAAUCGAAGGAAAGAUGAAUGUGGCAAAGUACACAGAUAUCCUGGAGGAAAACCUUCUCCGGAGUGCACAGGACCUCAGACUGGGCCGAGUGGGUGACUCGUCUGCAUAGUGAGGAAAAUGAUAGCUGCCAAAUAUAGAGAAAUUCUUCAAGAGAACUCGCUCCAGAGUUCUCUGGAACUCAGACUAUGGCGUCGAUUCACCUUCCAAGACAAUGACCCUAAGCACACAGCUAAAAUAACGAAGGAAUGGCUUCAGAACAACUCCGUGACUGUUCUUUUAUGGCCCAGCCAGAGGCCUUAACUUAAAUCCAAUUGAGCAUCUCUGGAGAGACCUGGAAAUGGCUGUCCACCAAUUUCUACCAUGCAACCUGACAGAAAUGGAGAGGAUCUGCAAGGAGGAAUGGCAGAGGAUCCCCAAAUCCAGAUCUAUGCCCUGAAGGAAUCCCAGAGGUCAGGCUACAUUGAGUUGGCCUUGCAGGCAUAUGAACAGACCGUGCCUAACAGCGCUGCUGUCUGAUCGACUUACUCUCAUUUGGAAUUUUGCAAAUCGACAGAGAAAGAUAACCUCAAGCUAAAGGGGAUGCUAUGUAGCCUCUCAUUUGAAGUCUAUGCAGAGAGUUCUGUCUCCGUACAGUAAUAUGUGCUCCAUAAAUUAACAGUUUAUGGAAACAGAUUGCAUGCCAAUUGUGUUUGGAGUUUGUGUCCUACCUACAGUUUCUACAUAAAUGAACUGAAAUCACUGAAAUAAAAAUGUCUAUGUA